CAGGAGAUUGAUACGUCAUUACGCACUUGACGGCAGCGGCGGCGACAACCCGGAAACGGGCGGGGCGCGGGCCCUGGCAAAAGAAACUAAUAGCUGUAUGACAACAGCCAAAGAGUAAAUAUCCUUUCAAGUCCAAUCCUGCCUAAGAUGUCAAAAUCAAGAAUGAAGAGGUUAUGUGCUGAAACAGAAUGACCUUCACAAGAUGCAGCCUCUGGAUCUUGGACUUCCCCAGCCUCCAGAACUCUGAGCAGAGCCCCAUAAAUGAGAAGCCACGAAGACUGAGGUUACACAGUGAUCCACAGUUGCCACAAAACUGAGCAGGCAUCAAGGUACAUCUUGGUGUUGAAUGAAGUUGUUCCAUAUGGGCUCAUUUCUCAGUACUGAAGAAUGGGAUUUUGGACACAGAAGUGAUUUUGAUAAGUGACAGAAUUCUGCCGAAGGCCAGAGGCAAAAAGAGGCAAAACAAGGAACAUAAAAAUAGAGAAUCUACAAAUUAGCAUGUUAUAAUUACUCUCUUGCAUAGCAUUUAAGGACAUCUUUGAAAAGAUUCAAUGUCUUCAGCAACUGUAUCUAACUAGCAUGUACUAUAACUCAAAUUGACAUGAUUCCUAAAGAGAAGCAUCGGGACAACUCUUCUAUAGUGAUGAGGCAUUACUGAACAAUGUUUUUGGUUGAUAAACAGUAAUAGAAAUUUGGGAUUAAAAUGGCCUUUUCAAAGGAGUAGGUCAUUCCUAUGAAAAUAAUAGAUACUUAAAUUUA
rnacentral:lncRNA from 1 species